GACGAACGCUGGCGGCGUGCUUAACACAUGCAAGUCGAACGGAGUGGCGAACGGGUGAGUAACACGUGGGUGAUCUGCCUUGCACUUCGGGAUAAGCUUGGGAAACUGGGUCUAAUACCGGAUAGUGCAAGAUGAGCUCGCGGCCUAUCAGCUUGUUGGUGGGGUAAGGGCCUACCAAGGCGUCGACGGGUAGCCGGCCUGGGAGGGUGUACGGGCACAUUGGUACUGAGGUACGGACCAGAGGCGUACGGGGGGCAGCAGGGGGGAGUAUUGCACAAUGGGGGGAAGCCUGAUGCGGCGACGCCGCGUGGGGGAUGUAGGCCUUCGGGUUGUAAACUCCUUUCGACAGGGACGCGGUACCUGUAUAAGAAGCACCGGCUAACUACGUGCCAGCAGCCGCGGUAAUUC
rnacentral:rRNA from 1 species